rnacentral:rRNA from 1 species
UACGGAGGGUGCAAGCGUUAUCCGGAUUCACUGGGUUUAAAGGGUGCGUAGGCGGGCAGGUAAGUCCGUGGUGAAAUCUCUGAGCUUAACUCAGAAACUGCCAUGGAUACUAUUUGUCUUGAAUAUUGUGGAGGUAAGCGGAAUAUGUCAUGUAGCGGUGAAAUGCUUAGAUAUGACACAGAACACCAAUUGCGAAGGCAGCUUACUACACAGUUAUUGACGCUGAGGCACGAAAGCGUGGGGAUCAAACAGG